GAUGAACGCUAGCGGCAGGCCUAAUACAUGCAAGUCGAGGGGUAGAUGGGGCUUGCUCCAUUGAGACCGGCGCACGGGUGCGUAACGCGUAUGCAACCUACCUUGAUCUGGGGGAUAGCCCGGAGAAAUCCGGAUUAACACCGCAUAAAACCACAGCAGGACAUCCUGCAAUGGUCAAACAUUCAUGGGAUCAGGAUGGGCAUGCGUGCCAUUAGCUUGUUGGCGGGGUAACGGCCCACCAAGGCUACGAUGGCUAGGGGAUCUGAGAGGAUGGCCCCCCACACUGGUACUGAGACACGGACCAGACUCCUACGGGAGGCAGCAGUAAGGAAUAUUGGUCAAUGGAGGCAACUCUGAACCAGCCAUGCCGCGUGCAGGAAGACGGCCCUCCGGGUUGUAAACUGCUUUUAUCCGGGAAUAAACCUAUCUACGUGUAGAUAGCUGAAUGUACCGGAGGAAUAAGGAUCGGCUAACUCCGUGCCAGCAGCCGCCGUAA
rnacentral:rRNA from 1 species